rnacentral:rRNA from 1 species
GACGAACGCUGGCGGCGUGCUUAACACAUGCAAGUCGAGCGGUAAGGCCCCUUCGGGGGUACGACGAGCGGCGAACGGGUGAGUAACACGUGGGUGACCUGCCCUUAGCUCUGGGAUAAGCCUGGGAAACUGGGUCUAAUACCGGAUAUGACUCCAUGACGCAUGUUGUGGGGUGAAAGCCUUGUGCGGCUAGGGAUGGGCCCGCGGCCUAUCAGCUUGUUGGUGGGGUGAUGGCCACCAAGGCGACGACGGGUAGCCGGCCUGAGAGGGCGACCGGCCACACUGGGACUGAGACACGGCCCAGACUCCUACGGGAGGGCAGCAGUGGGGGAAUCUUGCGGCCAAUGGGGCGAAAGACCUGACGCAGCGACGCCGCGUGGGGA